AUACGUAGGUGGCAAGCGUUGUCCGGAAUUAUUGGGCGUAAAGCGCAUGUAGGCGGUUUGGUAAGUCGGUCGUGAAAAUGCGGUGCUUAACGCCGUAUGGCGAUUGAAACUGCUGAACUUGAGUGCAGGAGAGGAAAGGGGAACUCCCAGUGUAGCGGUGAAAUGCGUAGAUAUUGGGAAGAACACCGGUGGCGAAGGCGCCUUUCUGGACAGUGUCUGACGCUCAGAUGCGAAAGCCAGGGUAGCGAACGGGAUUAGAUACCCCGGUAGUCCUGGCCUUAAACGAUGGGUACUAGGUGUUGGAGGUAUCGACUCCUUCCGUGCCGGAGUUAACGCAAUAAGUACCCCGCCUGGGGAGUACGGCCGCAAGGCUUAAACUCAAAUGAAUUGACGGGG
rnacentral:rRNA from 1 species